GACGAACGCUGGCGGCGUGCUUAACACAUGCAAGUCGAACGGAAAGGCCCUGCUUUUGUGGGGUGCUCGAGUGGCGAACGGGUGAGUACCACGUGAGUAACCUGCCCUUGACUUUGGGAUAACUUCAGGAAACUGGGGCUAAUACCGGAUAGAAGCUCCUGCUGCAUGGUGGGGGUUGGAAAGUUUCGGCGGUUGGGGAUGGACUCGCGGCUUAUCAGCUUGUUGGUGGGGUAGUGGCUUACCAAGGCUUUGACGGGUAGCCGGCCUGAGAGGGUGACCGGCCACAUUGGGACUGAGAUACGGCCCAGACUCCUACGGGAGGCAGCAGUGGGGAAUAUUGCACAAUGGGCGGAAGCCUGAUGCAGCAACGCCGCGUGCGGGAUGACGGCCUUCGGGUUGUAAACCGCUUUCGCCUGUGACGAAGCGUGAGUGACGGUAAUGGGUAAAGAAGCACCGGCUAACUACGUG
rnacentral:rRNA from 1 species